AACCCUCCAGCCAUUCUUUGAAGGAUUAUUACCCCGAGACAAUCCAAGAAAUACUCGAUUUGCCAUCAACUUUUUUACCUCUAUAGGUCUUGGAGGUUUAACGGAUGAAUUGCGUGAGCAUCUGAAAAAUACACCAAAGGUCAUCGCAGCACAGAAGCCAGAUGCCGAGCCAAAGAAAUCCUCCCUGGCCUCCUCGUCUUCAGCCUCAUCCUCUUCUGAGUCUGGUUCCUCUGACUCGGGUUCUGACAGCAGUGAGAGCAGCUCAGGGUCUUCCAGUGAAGACAGCGACUCCUCCUCCAGUAGUCAGAGCUCUGCCU